rnacentral:rRNA from 1 species
UCGUAACAAGGUUUCCGUAGGUGAACCUGCGGAAGGAUCAUUAUUGAAUGAACUUGAUGUGAUUGUUGCUGGUCCUUUUGGGAUAUGUGCACAUCCGUCAUCUUUAUCUUUUCUCCUGUGCACCUUUUGUAGACCUGAAUAUUUCCAAGUCACCUUGGUUUUGAGGAUUGUUAAUUGCAACUCUCCUUGCUAUUCAGGUUUAUGUUUUUAUAUACGCAUGUAAUAGAAUGAAUAAAUAGGCAUUGUGCCUAUAAGUUUUAUACAACUUUCAGCAACGGAUCUCUUGGCUCUCGCAUCGAUGAAGAACGCAGCGAAAUGCGAUAAGUAAUGUGAAUUGCAGAAUUCAGUGAAUCAUCGAAUCUUUGAACGCACCUUGCGCUCCUUGGUAUUCCGAGGAGCAUGCCUGUUUGAGUGUCAUUAAAUUCUCAACCUUUACUAUUUUGUAAUGGAUUGGAUAUGGGGGUUGCUGGCUUUGAUAAAAAGUCUGCUCUCCUUAAAUGUAUUAGCUGGUACUAGAUCAUCUAUUAGUGUGAUAAUUAUCUACGCUAUUGGAAUAUCUACUAUGUACUGCUUCAAACUAUUUUUAUAUGACAAUUUGACCUCAAAUCAGGUAGGACUACCCGCUGAACUUAAGCAUAUCAA